AAGGUGGAAUCAACUUAUCUGAUAUCGCCGUCCUCGAAUCUCUUUCAUUCACAAACAUGAUAAGCCAAAGUUACAGGCGCGUAGCUCAGAUGGUUAGAGCGCACGACUGAUAAUCGUGAGGUCGGCAGUUCGACUCUGCCCGUGCCUACCAUCUUUAUGUAACAGGUGCUGCUGCGCUGUGCGCUAUCCGGCCUUUAGAUGGCCGUUUGUUUGUGAAUUAAGUAACAGGUUUUUUGAAAGCAGGCAGCUUUAUGCAGAUUUAUCUGUGCUGUUUGUGCGCUGUUUGACAAGGUAAGUGAAGACAUCCAAGACCGCGGGAUUAAUCGAGGGAUAAUUUUAGGGAAAUAAGCUAGUCUGGUUUAUUUCUUUUAUCUUUUGUUGAUCUCGCAAUAAUUCAAGCUUGUGAUUUGUCGCGUAAGGGUUGGAUAUCGAAUUUAUUCGGUGCUUGCCUUUACGUACGUAUCAAUCAAGCGUCUUUAAGGGCAUUUGGUGGAUGCCUUGGC
rnacentral:tRNA from 1 species